rnacentral:rRNA from 1 species
UCGGGAAUUUUGCGCAAUGGGCGAAAGCCUGACGCAGCAACGCCGCGUGAGGGAUGACGGCCUUCGGGUUGUAAACCUCUUUUGUCAGGGAAGAUAAUGACGGUACCUGGCGAAUAAGCCACGGCUAACUACGUGCCAGCAGCCGCGGUAAUACGUAGGUGGCAAGCGUUGUCCGGAUUUACUGGGCGUAAAGAGCGCGCAGGCGGUCGAUUUAGUCGCGUGUGAAAGCCCCCGGCUCAACUGGGGAGGGUCACGCGAUACUGAUCGACUCGAAGGCAGGAGAGGGUAGUGGAAUUCCCGGUGUAGUGGUGAAAUGCGUAGAUAUCGGGAGGAACACCAGUGGCGAAGGCGACUACCUGGCCUGUUCUUGACGCUGAGGCGCGAAAGCUAGGGGAGCAAACG